CAGAGGGGGCAAGCGUUGUUCGGAAUUACUGGGCGUAAAGGGCGCGUAGGCGGCCUGCUAAGUCGAACGUGAAAUCCCCGGGCUCAACCCGGGAACUGCGUCCGAUACUGGCAGGCUUGAAUCCGGGAGAGGGAUGUGGAAUUCCAGGUGUAGCGGUGAAAUGCGUAGAUAUCUGGAGGAACACCGGUGGCGAAGGCAGCAUCCUGGACCGGUAUUGACGCUGAUGCGCGAAAGCCAGGGGAGCAAACGGGAUUAGAUACCCCGGUAGUCCUGGCCCUAAACGAUGAAUGCUUGGUGUGGCGGGUAUCGAUCCCUGCCGUGCCGAAGCUAACGCGUUAAGCAUUCCGCCUGGGGAGUACGGUCGCAAGGCUG
rnacentral:rRNA from 1 species